rnacentral:RNase_P_RNA from 1 species
AAGGGUGAAAUGGUGGUGUAAGAGACCACCGGCGCAGGCAGUAAUGCUUGCGGCCGGGCAACCCCCAUCGGGAGCAAGGCCAAACAGGGAUGAACUCCUUCGGGAGGGGAAGCUGCUCGUUUCCCUUGAAUUCCAGGUAGGCUGCACCGAGGUGCGCUGAGAAGCGCACCCCAGACAGAUGAUCACCUCAGUGAAGUGAAGGGAGGAAGCCCUCCGGGGUGUAAACCGGAUCUACACCAGACAGAAUGCGGCUUAUAAGCUGGCCUGGGAA